CCAGUUUCCCCACGUCGCCCACUCCCGUCACUCGCUCCCACCUCUACCGAGCGCGCCAUGUCCUUUGUCCUGUGAAGCUCGCGACCACCGCCAUCGCCACGACCUGCAAGAUUGCCAAGGAGCUCCGGUGAGCUUGUAUACGUCGAUCCCGAGGAGCAGCUUCAGCUAGAGAUCGCCACGACGCCGGGACUAAUCGCUCCUUCCUCUUCGGUCGUCGGUGCCUCUCCGACAAAAUUCGACGCCGCUGCUGCUACUAACCUCUCGUCGGGCCUUCGUGUGCCUUCACGGUGAUCCGCCACGCCACAUGCACUCCUUCAUUUUCUCUCUAGCCGUCCCUAGCGUCGGUUCUGUUCUCUGCUAGCUCCGGUCGCCGUGUGUCGUUGCUGCUCCCGCUAGCUCCGGCCAUCCCGAGCGCCCAUCGAUGUCGCGCACGCCAACGAGUUUGUGGUCCUGCUAGGAAGCCUGCAUGCCUUUUUGUCUGCUUUAGUUCACGCGCAAUCGCGAUGCACACACUACCACCAAGCGCCGCCGCCGCCAUUUGUCGACGGUGUGCUCGCUCUUGGGUCUUGGCCACCAUUGUUCCUACCGUCGCCACCCAUCAAUGCAGCGCAGCCUCACGGUCCCGUAUGACCAAAACGCGUCCCAAAUGGUCGCCGGAAUCAACCACACAGCCACCACGGGCGCUCGGACUCGCCGCUAGUGACGCGGCCGACGUGGCUUCAUUAGCCACUAAUGACCCCCUAGGCUGGUCACAAUGGGGAGUAACAUUGAGUAGUAACAUACAUGACACAUAAGCAUGUUACUACUCUAUGUUACUACCUUCAUAGUGGGUGGUAACUUAGGGGUGGUAACUUAGAGGUUCAUUUAUUGCUUUUGUGGGAUCUAUAGUAGCAUUUUAUAAAGAAACAACCUCUAGCAUUAAAAAAGUCUCGUACAAAGCGUGAAGUUACGGUAACCACGGUGGUUACUCCAAUUCCUUCUCUCCUCAUUAACUCACUGCCACGUAGGAAAUUUUGCUGAGCUGGACAUGAAGUUACCACCGAAGUUACCUGCAUUGGGGCCAGCCUUAUUUACCUAAUGCCAUUGACAGUAGGCCCCACUUACUAAUUAAACUUAGUUAAACUAACUGAACCUAGAUUUAUUAACCACUCUCACAAACUAUUGGGUCCCACUAGACCUAGUUGAGCAAGUCAACCUGUUGACUCGGUUAGCCCCAAUCAAUGAGAGGUGGGUCCCUGUUGACCAAGUUGACUAGUCAAUUGAUUAAUAGUUGACCUGGUUACUCAUCAGGUUGGACCCAUGUGUCAGCCCCACAUGCACAUUGUUGGGUACACUCCUGUGUUCCCAUAGAAAAUUAUCAUUUUAUUUUUGAAUUAAAAUAAAUCGUGUAAUUUGAGAAUAAUGUUGAAACUUUAAAAAUUAAUAUAAAAUAACCUAUAAGUCAAAUGAAAAUAAUUGAUGUAUGAAAGUUGCUCCGAAAAAUCCCAUGAAUCCGAAUACGAUGUAUUUUCAUCUCUCACAUGCUCCUAGCAUGAUGAACAUGAACAUUUUGCGUUAGGUUCAUUUGUCCGGUAGAAGCCCGAGACCUGAGAAAUACCGUUGGAUAUUUCCCUGCUCAAUCUGUGAUGUGUAGUACCGCGUUAGCUCAUCCCUAGCACUGCACAUUCCCAUGCCAUGCAUCGUGUUACAUGUGCUUGCUUUUAUUUAUUUUUCUUCCCCUCUUCUCUCCGGUAGAUGGUGAAGCCGACGCUGCUGCCGGGUAAGACUACACCGGUGACGAACUAACGACCAACCUUUUGCAGUAGAGCAACAAGGCAAGCAAAAAACCCAUGAUCAUCCAUAUAUCACCCAUUUUUUCUCACUCAUGCUCACAUUAGAUUUUGCUAUUUUUGUAGAUAGCUCUUAUUCUGACGCAUAGCCCGCUUUUGUUAAACUCUGGUUGUACGCUACUACAUAUUAAAUGCAUAGUAUAGGUCGAUUAGUGAUCCCGAGUGACCCCACUUAGCAUCAGUUGCCCCUGCUUCAUCAUCGAAGACUUAAUGACUUGAAGACUCGGAGACGCGAAGACUCGAUCAUCUGAUCGGCAAUCCAUGACCCGUCACAUCACUUCACACCCCCUUAGUUGUACGACUGUGCAGAGCUACUAUCGAUUACUGAGGGUGAUACCUCGUGAUGUACUCCUCAUGUUAACUAUGUAGUGUAGUUAACCAGCGGUGGAUUACGGAGGUAAUUCCUCCUUCACCACUUCUGGUAAUGACUGUGUCGUGCAACCCCUCAAGCGUGAACCACCGAGGGUGAUUCCUCCCUGGUCACCUUGAUGGUUACAUCGAUUGUAAUCCAUCGAGGGUGAUACCUCAGAUUCCUCUCAUGUUAUAAACACACGGUUACUUUAACUUCAAUACUGGAACAUGAUGAAAUGUUCGGUGCAUGUGGAUUCCCGCGUGAUUGUGAUGAGGCGUGGUCGGACAUUCUUGGCCCUUGCCAUAAAUCCUCGAGAUGGGGCGACACGACCACAUAUCUGUUGGGGAACGUCGCAUGGGGAAAAAAAAUUCCUACGCGCAUGAAGACCUAUCAUGGUGAUGUCCAUCUACGAGAGGGGAUGAGUGAUCUACGUACCCUUGUAGACCGUACAGCAGAAGCGUUAGUGAACGCGGUUGAUGUAAUGGAACGUCCUCACGUCCCUCGAUCCGCCCCGCGAACAAUCCCGCGAUCAGUCUCACGAUCUAGUACCGAACAGAGGGCACCUCCGCGUUCAGCACACGUAUAGGUCGACGAUGAUCUCGGCCUUCUUGAUCCAGCAAGAGAGACGGAGAGGUAGAAGAGUUCUCCGGCAGCGUGACGGCGCUCCGGAGGUUGGUGAUGAUCUUGUCUCAGCAGGGCUCCGCCCGAGCUCCGCAGAAACGCGAUCUAGAGGAAAAACCGUGGAGGUAUGUGGUCGGGCUGCCGUGGAAAAGUCGUCUCAAAUCAGCCCUAAAACAUCUGUAUAUAUAGGUGGGAGAGAGGGGGCCUUGCCUUGGGGCUCAAGGAUCCCCAAGGGGGUCGGCCGAGCCAAGGGGGGGAAGGUCUCCCCCCCAAACCGAGUUGGACUUGGUUUGGUGGGUGGGAGUCCUUCCCUUCCCACCUCCUCUUUUUUUUCUCUUUGAUUUUUGUUUCUAAUGCGCAUAGGGCCCUUUUGGGCUGUCCCACCAGCCCACUAAGGGCUGGUGCGCCACCCUCAAGGCCUAUGGGCUUCCCCGGGGUGGGUUGCCCCCCCGGUGAACUUCCGGAACCCAUUCGUCAUUCCCGGUACAUUCCCGGUAACUCCGAAAACCUUCCGGUAAUCAAAUGAGGUCAUCCUAUAUAUCAAUCUUCGUUUCCGGACCAUUUCGGAAACCCUCGUGACGUCCGUGAUCUCAUCCGGGACUCCGAACAACAUUCGGUAACCAACCAUAUAACUCAAAUACGCAUAAAACAACGUCGAACCUUAAGUGUGCAGACCCUGCGGGUUCGAGAACUAUGUAGACAUGACCCGAGAGACUCCUCGGUCAAUAUCUAAUAGCGUGACCUGGAUGCCCAUAUUGGAUCCUACAUAUUCUACGAAGAACUUAUUGUUUGAACCUCAGUGCCAAGGAUUCAUAUAAUCCCGUAUGUCAUUCCCUUUGUCCUUCGGUAUGUUACUUGCCCGAGAUUCGAUCGUCAGUAUCCGCAUACCUAUUUCAAUCUCGUUUACCGGCAAGUCUAUUUACUCGUUCCGUAAUACAAGAUCCCGCAACUUACACUAAGUCACAUUGCUUGCAAGGCUUGUGUGUGAUGUUGUAUUACCGAGUGGGCCCUGAGAUACCUCUCCGUCACACGGAGUGACAAAUCCCAGUCUUGAUCCAUACUAACUCAACUAACACCUUCGGAGAUACCUGUAGAGCAUCUUUAUAGUCACCCAGUUACGUUGCGACGUUUGAUACACACAAAGUAUUCCUCCGGUGUCAGUGAGUUAUAUGAUCUCAUGGUCAUAGGAACAAAUACUUGACACACAGAAAACAGUAUCAACAAAAUGACACGAUCAACAUGCUACAUCUAUUAGUUUGGGUCUAGUCCAUCACGUGAUUCUCCUAAUGACGUGAUCCAGUUAUCAAGCAACAACACCUUGUUCAUAAUCAGAAGACACUGACUAUCUUUGAUCAACUGGCUAGCCAACUAGAGGCUUGCUAGGGACAGUGUUUUGUCUAUGUAUCCACACAUGUAAAUGAGUCUUCAUUCAAUACAAUUAUAGCAUGGAUAAUAAACGAUUAUCUUGAUACAGGAAUUAUAAUAAUAACUAUAUUUAUUAUUGCCUCUAGGGCAUAAUUCCAACAAUAUCAUGUAUCAUUGAUCAUCUCCGUGGUUAACAAAAAAUUAAUGGGAUUGGGUAUUUGAUCUGAGUUGGUCAAUUGACCUUUUUUUGCACUAACCUUCACGCGGGGAUAUUUAUGGGCAUUCAACGUCACUGUAUCACUCGAAGCUCUUCAGACGUCAGCAUUGGAGAGGCGCGCGCCCGAGUGGUCCGCAUAUGCAUUGAUCUUGUAUAAGAGGUGCUAGGAUUGAUCUCGUCUGCCCACACAAUGUGUAGGAGUGCAAAGGGAGAUGGGUCCAAGACCCUUGCUCGCUUACAAUUUAGACAGGCGGGCUGGCCUCUUGGUUGAGCCUAGGUAGGUCUACGACGUGUUGAUCUUCUAAGGCCGGACAUGACCUAGGAAAGUGUGUCCGGUCGGAGUUGAUCAAGCGUGUUGGGAAAUGUGGUGCACCCCUCUAGGGAUGAUAUAUCUGUUCGAAUAGUUGCGUCCAUGAUAAUAGGACGACUUGGAGUUUUAUCCCGAUCUAACACAACUAGAAUUGUGACUUAACUUGAAUGAUUGGCUCCGAGAUUGCUUCCUCGGAGGGAGUCAAGGAAGAAUCUCUGGGCAUGAGUCAAUAAAUUUGCUGCAACAAUAUGACUACAUAUGUGUUACUGAUCUACACUCUUCUAAUGUUCCAUGACACUGAAGAUGCUAGUAUUUGAUAAGACUAGACCUUUUGUCUAUUCUCGCAUUUCUGCAUUCAGUACAAAGAUAUAGCCCCAUUCCUUUGAUAUUGAUGCAUAUUUAGCAUAGUUUUGAUGUUAGUCUUGCGAGUACUUUGUAUGAGUACUCACCGUUGCUUUGCUCCCCCUUUUUCCUCUUGAUACGAUUGCCGCGACAGGUGACGGUGCCCAGGAGAUGGUAGAUCCCAUCGACAACGACUACUACCCCGACAGAGCCUACUACUAUGUGGAGGCUGCUGACGACCAUAGUAAUUAGGAGGUUCCCAGACAGGAGGCCUUGCCUCUUCGAUCUAUGUUAUGUUUGUGCUAGCCUUCUCAAGGCAAAACUUGUUUAUUUAUGUCUGUACUCGGAUAUUAUUUUCUUCCGCUGACUCGUUUGUAUUCGAGC
rnacentral:lncRNA from 1 species